rnacentral:rRNA from 1 species
UUCCGGUUGAUCCCGCCGGACCUGACUGCUAUCGGAUUGAUACUAAGCCAUGCGAGUCUUUGCAGUAAUGCAAGGCAUACGGCUCAGUAACACGUAGUCAACUUACCCUAUGGACGAGGAUAAUCUCGGGAAACUGAGCAUAAUACUCGAUAGAUCAUAAUGCCUGGAAUGGUUUAUGGUUGAAAUGAUUCGUCGCCAUAGGAUGGGACUGCGGCCUAUCAGCUUGUUGGUGAGGUAAUGGCCCACCAAGGCGAUUACAGGUACGGGCUCUGAGAGGAGAAGCCCGGAGAUGGGUACUGAGACAAGGACCCAGGCCCUAUGGGGCGCAGCAGGCGAGAAAACUUUGCAAUGUGCGAAAGCACGACAAGGUUAAUCCGAGUGAUUUCUGCUAAAGAGAUCUUUUGCUAGUUAUAAAACCACUAGUGAAUAAGGGGUGGGCAAGUUCUGGUGUCAGCCGCCGCGGUAAAACCAGCACCUCAAGUGGUCAGGAUGAUUAUUGGGCCUAAAGCAUCCGUAGCCGGCUCUGUAAGUUUUCGGUUAAAUCCAUGUGCUCAACGCAUGGGCUGCCGAAAAUACUGCAUAGCUAGGGAGUGGGAGAGGUAGACGGUACUCGGUAGGAAGGGGUAAAAUCCUUUGAUCUAUCGAUGACCACCUGUGGCGAAGGCGGUCUACCAGAACACGUUCGACGGUGAGGGAUGAAAGCUGGGGGAGCAAACCGGAUUAGAUACCCGGGUAGUCCCAGCUGUAAACGAUGCAGACUCGAUGAUGCAUUGGCAUAUAGCCAGUGCAGUGUCGCAGGGAAGCCGUUAAGUCUGCCGCCUGGGAAGUACGUACGCAAGUAUGAAACUUAAAGGAAUUGGCGGGGGAGCACCACAAGGGGUGAAGCCUGCGGUUCAAUUGGAUUCAACGCCGGG